GUGAAUCAUCGAAUCUUUGAACGCAAAUUGCACUCUCUUCGGAGAGUAUGCCUGUUUGAGGGUCAGUAUUAAUAAAAAUCGGUGUGUUGCUUCUUUGUGACGCUCCGGAGUUUGGGUCAUCUUAAUAUCCUUUAGGUUUUAAGAGGCUUAAAAUUGGCUCUUUUUGCGGAUUUUUGAUAUAAAUAAAUUUUUUUUUUUAUUUGGCUGUCUUUAUGCUCAAAAUUCUAAUAGAUUGGAACAUAAU
rnacentral:misc_RNA from 1 species